rnacentral:rRNA from 1 species
GACCGUAUGGUCCGCCCGUCGGAUUCAGUCCGCCUGUGCGGCGACGGCGACGGCCGCGCAUCCCUCUAGGGAGCGCGCCGGCGCCCGCUCGUCGUGCGGCGGCCGUACUUUCGGCGGGCGGAGCGCCACGACCGGUUCGUCGGCGGCGAGAAACUCCCGGGCAAGGUGACCUUCGUCUCGGCGCAGGAGCAUACAGGCCCGGUGAGCGUCGGCCCGUCGGUGGACCGAGGAAGACCGUCGCGGAGCGGCGUCGACCGUUCGUCGUGUGUUGGCGUUCGACUCGGGGGGACUGGUUCCAGUGCCCUCGGACCGCGCCGGCGCAGCGGCGGGCGCGCACGGCGUCGCGCCUGGGGUCGGUGGCGAAACGGCCGGCAACCUGUCCGACCCGUCUUGAAACACGGACCAAGGAGUCUAACAUGUGCGCGAGUCGUUGGGCGCUACGAAACCCGAAGGCGCAAUGAAAGUGAAGGCCCGGUCUCCGGCCGGCCUGGGUGGGAUCCCGGCGGUCUCGGCCGUCGGGCGCACCACCGGCCCGUCUCGUUCGUUACGUCGAGGAGGCGGAGCAAGAGCGUACACGUUGGGACCCGAAAGAUGGUGAACUAUGCCCGAGUAGGACGAAGCCAGAGGAAACUCU